CCCCAGGAAUCAGCUCGUGCACAUUGAUCCACGCUACAAUACACUGCCUAAUGGCCUUUAUAAUGCUCCCGGAUUUUCCAAUAACACCCCCAGCCUUUAAAUCAUGGUAAAGAAUUCAAUAAUUGGUGGUGAUGCUAUUAAAAAAUAGUACCUGAAAGAUCUCAAACUUGAUGAUGGAACUCCAAACUUUUAUGAAUAGAAUGGUCUUCGAAUACUUGCAACGAAGACAACGAGGUGUGUGCUCGUCGUCCCUCCGAUGCCUAAGUCAGAUGAGAAAUUAAGUGCGUGAGGCUAUAGAGAGGAAAUAAUGAAAAACGUACCUCGAGAAUGACCCUGGGUCAUGUAUUUAUAGGUGUUGAAGAUAGAGUCCAAGAAGGACCUAGCCAUGUGUAAUCCUUAUCCUUGCAGGACAAGCAGUUCGUGUUUUAUUCUAAGUGUUCAACCAUUGUUUGAGUCGAAGAAGGAAUAAAAAAGGAUAAGGAUUGUGGUCCAAAUAGAAUUUGUAUUGCUCUAGGUUAUUGGGAAAGAGCGGGGGGAAGAGAAUACGAGUUCGUCAAAAGUACGCACCUCGACCUCAUAUUUAAUGGUCUUGGUGAAGGAAAAUGUCGGGCAACUAUAGGUCGAGAUCGGGGAUAAAAGAUAUGGGAUCAUCACAAGCCCUCGUGCAUCGAGGUUGUAGAUUGUGGUUCAAGCUUGAUCUUCGAGUGAAGAUGUAAGGGCAUAAAUGCCCAGGGGUCUUUCCACAUGUCAGGUGUUCGACGGGGUGUCAGAGCACGACCCUGGAUGGAUGCCACGUGUCUUCGUCCAAGGGUUGAGAUUACAUGACCGUUGCUAUUCCACAGUCCUCUAU
rnacentral:lncRNA from 1 species